UACGAAGGGUCCAAGCGUUAUCCGGAUUUAUUGGGUUUAAAGGGUGCGUAGGCGGCUUAUUAAGUCAGUGGUGAAAGACUUCAGCUUAACUGAAGAACUGCCAUUGAUACUGAUGAGCUUGAAUAUACUUGAGGUUGGCGGAAUGUGUCAUGUAGCGGUGAAAUGCUUAGAUAUGACACAGAACACCGAUUGCGAAGGCAGCUUACUAUGGUGUCAUUGACGCUGAGGCACGAAAGCGUGGGGAUCAAACAGG
rnacentral:rRNA from 1 species